AUUGAACGCUGGCGGCAUGCUUUACACAUGCAAGUCGAACGGUAACAUGCCUUCGGGUGCUGACGAGUGGCGAACGGGGGAGUAAUGCACCGGAACGUACCCAGUGGCGGGGGAUAACGCAGCGAAAGCUGUGCUAAUACCGCAUGGGAUCUGAGGAUGAAAGUGGGGGACCGACCAGCAAUGUUUGGCCUCUUGCCUUGGUAGCGGCCGAUGUCGGAUUAGCUAGUUGGUGGGGUAAAGGCCUAGCAAGGCGACGAUCCGUAGCUGGUCUGAGAGGACGAACAGCCACACUGGGAGUGAGACAGGGCCCAGACUCCGGCAAGAGGCAGCAGUGGGGACUUUUAGACAAUGGGCGCAAGCCUGAUCCAGCGAAACCGCGGGAGGGAAGACGGCGUCCGGGUUGUAAACCGCUUUAGGCAGGAGCGAAACAGUAUCCGCUAAUCCCGGGCGAUAAUGACGGUACCUGCAGAAUAAGCACCGGCUAACUACGUG
rnacentral:rRNA from 1 species